UGUAAAGAGUGUGUGUGUGUGUGUGUGUGUGUGAGAGAGAGAGAGAGAGAAAACACACACACACACACACACACACACACACAAUAUG
rnacentral:miRNA from 1 species